GACGAACGCUGGCGGCGUGCUUAACACAUGCAAGUCGAACGAAGUGGCGAACGGGUGAGUAACGCGUAAUCAACCUGCCCUUCAGAGGGGGACAACAGUUGGAAACGAAUGCUAAUAACGCAUACUGAAGGAGGGGAUUGAGUCUGAUUAGGUAGUUGGGGGGAUAACGGCCAACCAAGGCGAUGAUCAGUAGCCGGUCUGAGAGGGUGAACGGCUACAUUGGGACGGAGACACGGCCCAGACUCCUACUGGAGGCAGCAGUGGGGAAUCUUCCGCAAUGGACGAAAGUCUUACGGAGCAACGCCGCGUGAGUGAUGACGGCCUUCGGGUUGUAAAGCUCUGUUAAUCGGGACGCGGUACCGGAAUAGAAAGCCACGGCUAACUACGUGCCAGCCGCCGCGGUAAUUC
rnacentral:rRNA from 1 species